UAGUGAUGUCUCCAUGAUACCUUGUUUGGGAUUUGCUUAAAUGCAAAUCUCUUGAUGUGUGUUUCACUCCAAUUUGCAUGGUCAGUGCGGAUCAUUCCCAAAGAGUCCCUUUCCUGUCUGAGCAGACACUUCAUGGAUGAAAACUGAAGUUUACCAACAGAAAAAUCCUAGGUUAAAGUGAAAGGCUGGUAUGUUUUGCAGCGAUGGGCCAUGGCCUUACAGGUGAGGAACCUGGCUGGAAAAGCAAGGCCUGGGACAAGAGCAUCUUGUCAUGUGUAAGUGUGAGAUACCCAUGUGCUGUUGAAGAUGAACACAGCGGGGCUUAUUCUGAGAGUAGUACGGUCUCUUCUGCAUCACGCAAUUAAAACUGGGUCUUUGAACACUGUGAACCCAGGAAGCUUUGCAUAUCAUUGAGAGCACCUGUGGGGAGAGGAGUAACACUCAGCCAGGGAUACGUGCUCAUGGGACCAGCUGGAGCAUCCUUUAGCAACCCAACAGGCUCCUGGUGGCGGGGGGGGAAGCAGAGUUUGGCUCUUAGUUAUCAAGCAAGGGGUUCUCUUUCAGAAAGUCUGAGAUUAGUCUCCACUGAGAUGCCAGGAAGGGAAACAGCAGCCAGGAAAUGACCUGUUUUUACAAUGCUGCUAGACCCAGAUUAAAGGGACUUUUGGCCAGGCCUGCUAUAACCAUUCCUUUGUUCCCAGCCUCCAAAUGGUAGCAAGACUGUUUCUGCAAAACAAGAAGCAGAGUUAAGCCUUAAAUUCUUAUUUAAGCCUAGUAGCUUGUAUCCUAGUUCUGAAACAUCCACAUUUGCUGUAAGAAAGCCAUUUUCCCUGCAGCACGGGUAGCACAACCUGUCAAUACGCUGAGGAUAGGUUUUUGGUGAGGCAGAUGAUCUCUAGAGCAUUUUGUGUACAAGCAGAGCAGGCACAGCAUUGCUGUGCUCAUUUUACAUGAGCAGGACAAGACUGGCGCCAAUCUGUUCUUCAUUAUUAAAUAUUUCUCCUUUUGUGGAGUCUGCUGCCAGCUUGCGGGACUAUUAGAACCACUCGGGUAUUCUGCCUGCUCAGACAUGGAGCUCAGGACCAAGAGGACAUCACACAAUCAAGGCACUGUGUGCCGACUCUUUUACCAUGCAUAUAUGCCCUUACAUAAGACAAGUCCUAUUGUGGUCCAUCCAUUCUUAGCCACCCAAUCCUGGUACCCGCAGGUGUCUUGGGUUUGGCUGACAGGUAAUAGAAUGGGCAGGAAGCACCAGGCAGGUUGGGGAUGUGUGGGCAGAUGUGAAGUCCAACAGAAGAGGGCUGUCUGCACUUUAUCAGCAGGAGGCUUAGUUUGCCACCUGCUUCCUGGCAGGCUUCCCAGAUAGUUUUGUCUUCUGCGCUGGAUAUUUAUAUACUUUCUUUAGGAUACACAGGUUAAAUCCCAGUCCCAUUCAAGCUCAUGGCUUUGCACUGUCUACCCUGGCCAGGUGUUUUCUGCACCGGUUACAAAAUAAUUACAUUGAAAGCAACAGAUCCUGCAGAAAACAAAUAAAUGGAGAUAAAAUAAUAAUGCUACUAAACCCCCAACAAACAGAUCCAGAUUCUAACUGAGUCAAUUUCAGCACGUACUUCCCAUUCACAUCAGAGGGGAGAGCUGGUGUGUAUGACAGGAAUUACAGAAGCCAUUGUGUGUUAGAAAGGCACGCUUUGUGGCACAUUUUAUGCAAUUUUAGUUGGAUUUAGCGUGGCAUUUACCUGUGCCAAAGCAAACUUUGAGUUUUGUGUCUCCAUUUGGUGUUACAAAAGCGUGGCACAGCAGUUGUAAUGGUCAAUGUAUAUUUGUUUAAUUCAAACUGUCAUUUCAGUUACUGAGUAAAGAGAAUAUGUUGCAUUAUCUCACAGCAGGA